GAAAAAAAAUCUAUGAAUUGAAUAAGGCACAAUGAACCUUUGUAAUGUUUAACGCUACUUUUUUUUCUGAUAAGACAAACAUUUUUGUCUUACUUAUUUUAAAUAAAACACGCAUAAAAAUUGGUCUCCAAGAGCUCUGCAAGAGUAAUACUUCAGCUGCAAGACAGUUGGAAGGACAGUUUUUACAUGGAUCAUUUCAGGAUUCUGGUGGCUUAUCUCAUAGCCCAACAUCUAGCUGGGGGAGGCAAAUCAUGAAGUUGGGAAUAGGAAGGAGGAAAUGUUUUUUCACUGAUGACUUUUCUGUAUCAUUUAAUGAUGACUUAAUGACAUCUCUCUCUACUAUCUUUAGACCAAAAACUCUCUGCUUCAAAACAAGUGGCCCUUUCACAAGAAGGCCAGCUGGGUUAACCUCGAGGGCAAGUCUGAGCCUGGGCUCUACUUUCAUUAACCUUCCUGCAGACAGGAUGCAGGCUGUACCACAAGUGGUACGUGCUUUCUCAGAGCGCUCCCCACGCAUCCACAAGCUUUGUCUGAUGUUCAGAGACCUAAGCAACUUUACUGGAUCAAUAAGAAGCACUGAUCCAUUCAGGAAGCCUUUCCUGGACUUCUCCCUUGUGGCAGCUCCAGAGCUUUAACACUCCAGGUGGAGUGGAUCUGGCUCCAGGUAGAGUCUGUCAGUAUUUUCAUCAGAGUAUAUAUCUUUCAUAAACAUGAAAAAGGCAGGUUUAGAAGUACUCAAGAACUCUUAGAAUCAGAUUUCAUUUUAUCACGUUCUUUGCCUAAACCAAUAAAACAAACUUCCCUUAAACUCCUGAUAAUACAUUGGGAAACACUUUUAUUUCUCUGUUGCAAUGCUCUACAAGAAAUUGUAUUAUUUUCUGCUUUUUAAAUACUAUAUGUGUGCCAUUUCCCUUGAAAUAUGUUAAAAAAAAAAAAAAGUAAAGAUGUUUAAAAUGACAGUGAAAUUUCUGUUUCAGGUUAUGUUAAAUAUUUUGUACAGUUCAAGUGUUCAAAAAUGUUUGAUUGGCUGAAUAUUUUUCUUUUUGUCAGAUCAUCCUGUGAUCAUUCCUGUCAGAUCAUUCCUGUGACUGGAAGCAUUAGCAUUCACUUAGCUUUAGUCACUGACUCUUUAAUUUAAAUCUCUACCUGGAAAAAAUUGUUUUCAGCAUAGAGUAACCCCUGGACUCUUCCCACAGUGCCCCUACAUCUCUGACCUGCUAACAAAACUUUGCCAAAUACACCCAUUGCAAUGGGUUUCCCAAAUCAUCCUUUCCUGUUCCUUUAUUUAUUCCAGACUGUCAGGACACUGAACUGAAGACUGGUAGAGCUUGUAAUGAUGUCAGCAACAUAUAGAGAGAGAGAAGAGGGGAGAGAGACAUUCAUCUUAUAUGGCUAAAACUUAAAAGGCAUCUCUCCAGGUCUAAGAAAGUUAUAAGAUGCCCAAAUCAGCUCAUACUGAAAAAUGCUUGCUUACUACUGCCAGU
rnacentral:lncRNA from 1 species